CACUGGUUCCCGUACGAUCACUGAAGUUAAGCAACGUCGAGCCUAGUUAGAUGGGCGACCGCUUGGGGAUACCAGGUGCUGUAAG